CCUACGGGGGGCAGCAGUGGGGAAUAUUGGACAAUGGGGGGAACCCUGAUCCAGCCAUGCCGCGUGUGUGAAGAAGGCCCUCGGGUUGUAAAGCACUUUCAGUGAGGAAGAACGCCUGGUGGUUAAUACCCAUCAGGAAAGACAUCACUCACAGAAGAAGCACUGGCUAACUCCGUGCCAGCAGCCGCGGUAAUACGGAGGGUGCGAGCGUUAAUCGGAAUUACUGGGCGUAAAGCGCGCGUAGGUGGCUUGAUAAGCCGGUUGUGAAAGCCCCGGGCUCAACCUGGGAACGGCAUCCGGAACUGUCAAGCUAGAGUGCAGGAGAGGAAGGUAGAAUUCCCGGUGUAGCGGUGAAAUGCGUAGAGAUCGGGAGGAAUACCAGUGGCGAAGGCGGCCUUCUGGACUGACACUGACACUGAGGUGCGAAAGCGUGGGUAGCAAACAGGAUUAGAUACCCCAGUAGUC
rnacentral:rRNA from 1 species